GGCGCGAGCGGGCGAGUGCAGGCGGCGCGAGCGGAAAAAGCGCCCGCACGGGGGAACGAAAAGAAGAAAAGAAAGAAAACGAGCGCGAGAAGGGAAAAGCGAGCGAUCGAGCGAGUGCGCGCGCGAAAACUCCCGACAGCACUUUCAUUUGGACCCUUGGAUGCCCAUUGAACAGAUGCUUGAGAACUGCAAGUAAUCUUCAGACUGUAGCAUAACUAUAAGGCCUGUCCUCUGUGUGGGGAGGAGAUCACCCAUGUGCUGUGGAAAUGAACGGGGAGCAGCAGAUUGAUGCAGAUGCUGGAUCUGGAGUGGAAGAAGUGGAAUUAAGCUGGGAAGACUAUCUAGAAGAGACAGGAUCCACAGCAGUUCCCUACGGGUCUUUUAAACAUGUGGACACACGUUUGCAGAAUGGAUUUGCUCCUGGGAUGAAACUGGAGGUGGUUGUGAAAACCGAUCCUGAAACCUACUGGGUUGCCACCAUCAUUACCACCUGUGAGCAGUUGCUCCUCCUCCGCUACGAUGGCUACGGGGAGGACCGGAGAGCAGACUUCUGGUGUGACAUCAGGAAGGCUGACCUCUACCCCAUUGGGUGGUGUGAGCAGAAUAAGAAGACCCUCGAAGCCCCGGAAGGAGACAUACCUAAAUGGAGAUAUUCUGAAAGAAUAAACAUAAAAGGAUGGACAAAGAUACAUAGACAAAUGCAAAUAGAAAAGAAAGCAGGAGUCUCAGUCUUGAUAUCUGACAAAGGUGGAAUUCAGAUCAGAAAGCACUGCAUCAGAGAUAAAGUGUCUGAUCUGGAUGAGUUUCUGCGGCAGACCCUGAUGGGAGCAUGUAGUCCUCCUGUUCCGCUGCUAGAGGGCCUCCGUAAUGGGAGGAAUCCUUUAGAUCUCAUUGCUCCAGGUUCCAGGCUGGAAUGUCAAGCUUUCCAGGACUCUUUAAGUACUUGGAUUGUUACUGUAGUAGACAACAUUGGAGGAAGGCUGAAGCUGCGUUAUGAAGGACUUGAGAGUUCUGAUAAUUUUGAACAUUGGUUGUAUUACUUGGAUCCAUUUCUUCAUCAUGUUGGUUGGGCUGCUCAACAGGGAUAUGAGCUUCAGCCCCCAUCAGCCAUCAGACAUCUGAAAACUGAAGUUGAGUGGCAAGAGAUCUUGGCCAAAGUGAAAGAGGAGGAAGAAGAGCCAUUACCAUCUUACUUAUUUAAGGAUAAACAAGUGAUCGGCGCUCAUUCAUUCUCUGUAAAUAUGAAAUUGGAAGCUGUGGAUCCCUGGUCUCCUUUUGGGAUCUCUCCUGCUACAAUUGUUAAGGUUUUUGAUGAGAAGUAUUUUCUGGUGGAAAUGGAUGAUUUGCGACCAGAGAAUCGUGCACAGCGAUCCUUCGUGUGUCAUGCUGACAGUCCUGGUAUUUUCCCUGUGCAGUGGGGUCUGAAGAAUGGUUUACACAUCAGUCCCCCUCCUGGCUACCCAGGCCAGGACUUUGAUUGGGCCGACUACCUCAAACAGUGUGGUGCUGAAGCUGCUCCCCAGAGGUGCUUCCCUCCGUCAAUUUCUGAGCAUGAAUUUAAGGAGAACAUGAAGCUUGAGGCAGUGAACCCUCUUCUCCCUGAAGAAGUGUGCGUUGCCACCAUUACUGCAGUGAGAGGCUCCUACCUGUGGCUCCAGUUGGAGGGUUCUAAGAAACCCAUACCUGAAUUUAUUGUGAAUGUGGAAUCCAUGGAUAUAUUUCCUUUGGGCUGGUGUGAAACCAAUGGCCAUCCCCUCAGCACUCCUCGCCGAGCACGAGUACACAAACAGAGGAAAGUUGCAGUGGUUCAACCAGAAAAACAAAUACCAUCCUCAAGGACUGUCCAUGAGGGUCUGAAGAAUCAGGAGCUGAGCUCCACAGACUCAGUUAUGAUUAAUGGAAAAUAUUGCUGUCCAAAGAUAUACUUCAACCACCGUUGCUUCUCAGGGCCAUAUCUUAACAAAGGAAGGAUCGCUGAGCUGCCUCAAUGUGUGGGACCCGGGAAUUGUGUCCUGGUCCUCAGAGAGGUCCUCACUUUACUGAUCAAUGCAGCCUAUAAACCCAGUCGUGUCCUUCGGGAGCUGCAGCUGGACAAAGACUCUGUGUGGCAUGGAUGUGGGGAAGUCCUCAAGGCCAAAUACAAAGGAAAGAGUUACCGAGCUACUGUCGAGAUAGUGAAAACAGCAGAUCGGGUGACUGAAUUCUGCCGGCAAACCUGUAUCAAACUGGAGUGCUGUCCUAAUCUCUUUGGUCCACGGAUGGUUCUGGAUAAGUGUUCAGAGAACUGCUCUGUACUUACAAAGACUAAAUAUACACACUACUAUGGAAAGAAGAAAAAUAAAAGAAUUGGGAGGCCACCUGGUGGGCAUAGUAACUUAGCAUGUGCCCUGAAAAAAGCGAGUAAGAGGAGAAAGAGGCGAAAAAAUGUUUUUGUUCAUAAGAAGAAACGCUCCUCUGCAUCUGUUGAUAAUACCCCAGCGGGCUCUCCCCAGGGAAGUGGAGGUGAAGAUGAGGAUGACCCAGAUGAAGGGGAUGAUGAUUCCCUAAGUGAGGGCAGUACAUCUGAGCAACAGGAUGAGCUACAGGAAGAGUCAGAAAUGUCAGAAAAAAAAUCAUGCUCCUCCUCUCCCACCCAAAGUGAGAUAUCCACAUCACUGCCUCCAGACAGACAGAGAAGAAAAAGAGAGCUUCGCACUUUUUCAUUUUCUGAUGAUGAGAAUAAACCUCCUUCACCAAAGGAAAUAAGGAUUGAAGUUUCUGAAAGGCUUCACCUGGACAGUAACCCCCUGAAGUGGAGUGUGGCGGAUGUUGUGCGGUUCAUCAGAUCCACCGACUGUGCUCCGCUAGCAAGAAUAUUCCUAGACCAGGAAAUUGAUGGGCAGGCCCUGUUGCUCCUUACCCUUCCCACCGUUCAAGAGUGCAUGGACUUAAAACUGGGCCCUGCCAUCAAACUUUGCCAUCACAUAGAGAGGAUCAAGUUUGCUUUUUAUGAACAGUUUGCCAACUGAGAAGGACAACCAAAGUGAGCUGUAUCUUUGAAGCACAAAUGCAGCAAAUCCUUCGCCCUGCUCUACAAGUGGAGCUGAAAUAGUCCUGGGGCUCUGGGCCCUGCAGGUGUCGGCUUGCUCUCUUUGCACUUUCAGGGAAGGAGGACCCACACUGACAAAGAAGGCAUCUUGACCAGAGUAAAUCCUUCAAAACUGUUUCCAGUGGGACCUCAGAGAAUCAUCUCUGAAUGGAGGAGAAAGUUCCUUCCUGCUUCAAUAAAAUUAACCUUUCCAGAAUUCUCCCCCCAUCCUUCUGUCUGAUCCUUUCCCCUCUGGAUCUGGGUACUUUUUAAUUGCCGUUCAGAAAAGGUAGGAAGAGCAGAACUUCCCAUAGUGAGCUUGCUCCCGGCACCGAGGACUCUGCCCCGAUCGCUGAAGACUGCUUCUUGUUCUUUACAUUUGCCUUGGCACAGCAGCGACGGGCCUUAGGGUUCCUCCACAUCUGGAUGUGCAGAGCACUGCUUUGUCAAAAAAAUUCAUUUUUCAGCUCUGUGUGCAAUUUUCCUUGAGCUGUGUCUUCAAGCAAUUAAUAAUCUCCUUAUGCCCAACUACAAUCUCUUUGGCUUUAAGGACACAUCCUAUUGUUUGGUUCUCUCUAAACGUGGACUGUAACUGUUGAGCAUACAUACCCAUAAGGGACCUUCUUAGACUUAAAGACGGUAAUGCAAUUUUUCCUUACCUGUUUAUUUUCUUAACCUGAUUUUCUGUAUUUUCCCAUGGUCAAUACUUGUGGAGAGUUUUUAAUUUUAUAAAUUAAAAGUCAAUUUAAUUUAAAAA